rnacentral:rRNA from 1 species
CCUACGGGUGGCUGCAGUCGAGAAUCAUUCACAAUGGGGGAAACCCUGAUGGUGCGACGCCGCGUGGGGGAAUGAAGGUCUUCGGAUUGUAAACCCCUGUCAUGUGGGAGCAAAUUAAAAAGAUAGUACCACAAGAGGAAGAGACGGCUAACUCUGUGCCAGCAGCCGCGGUAAUACAGAGGUCUCAAGCGUUGUUCGGAAUCACGGGGCGUAAGGCGUGCGUAGGCUGUUUCGUAAGUCGUGUGUGAAAGGCGCGGGCUCAACCCGCGGACGGCACAUGAUACUGCGAGACUAGAGUAAUGGAGGGGGAACCGGAAUGCUCGGUGUAGCAGUGAAAUGCGUAGAUAUCGGGAGGAACACUCGUGGCGAAGGCGGGUUCCUGGACAUUAACUGACGCUGAGGCACGAAGGCCAGGGGAGCGAAAGGGAUUAGAUACCCCUGUAGUC